AGGAGGCAGGGGAGGAGCAGGAAGAAGGGGAGGAGGAGGGGGGGAGGAGAGCUGAGGACGGGAUUUCCUCUUUAGUGUCCCGUAGUGCCUCACAGCCACACUAGCAGCGUGGUCACUGACACACACACCCAGGCACGUGUGGAAUAUACCUGGCUCCAUUUCAGCCCCCGGGCUCCCCUUGCUCUCCCUCCUCCUCCUCCCCUCCUCCUCCCCUCCCCUUCCUCUCCUCUAUUGAU
rnacentral:miRNA from 1 species